CUACGGGCGGCUGCAGUGGGGAAUAUUGCACAAUGGGCGCAAGCCUGAUGCAGCCAUGCCGCGUGUAUGAAGAAGGCCUUCGGGUUGUAAAGUACUUUCAGCGGGGAGGAAGGGAGUAAAGUUAAUACCUUUGCUCAUUGACGUUACCCGCAGAAGAAGCACCGGCUAACUCCGUGCCAGCAGCCGCGGUAAUACGGAGGGUGCAAGCGUUAAUCGGAAUUACUGGGCGUAAAGCGCACGCAGGCGGUUUGUUAAGUCAGAUGUGAAAUCCCCGGGCUCGACCUGGGAACUGCAUCUGAUACUGGCAAGCUUGAGUCUCGUAGAGGGGGGUAGAAUUCCAGGUGUAGCGGUGAAAUGCGUAGAGAUCUGGAGGAAUACCGGUGGCGAAGGCGGCCCCCUGGACGAAGACUGACGCUCAGGUGCGAAAGCGUGGGGAGUAAACAGGAUUAGAUACCCCCGUAGUC
rnacentral:rRNA from 1 species